rnacentral:siRNA from 1 species
UCCGCUGUAGCACAAUGGU